rnacentral:rRNA from 1 species
UACGUAGGGGGCGAGCGUUAUCCGGAUUCACUGGGUGUAAAGGGAGCGUAGACGGACUUUUAAGUGAGAUGUGAAAUACUCGGGCUCAACUUGAGUGCUGCAUUUCAAACUGGAAGUCUAGAGUGCAGGAGAGGAGAAUGGAAUUCCUAGUGUAGCGGUGAAAUGCGUAGAGAUUAGGAAGAACACCAGUGGCGAAGGCGAUUCUCUGGACUGUAACUGACGCUGAGGCUCGAAAGCGUGGGGAGCAAACAGG